rnacentral:rRNA from 1 species
GAUGAACGCUAGCUACAGGCUUAACACAUGCAAGUCGAGGGGCAGCAUGAAAGGAACUUCGGUUCUUUUUGAUGGCGACCGGCGCACGGGUGCGUAACGCGUAUCGAACCUGCCUCAUACUCGGGGAUAGCCUUGCGAAAGUAAGAUUAAUACCCGGCGGUCUCGGAUGGCCGCAUGACUGUCCGAGUGAAGAUUUAUCGGUAUGCGAUGGCGAUGCGUCCCAUUAGCUAGUUGGUGAGGUAACGGCUCACCAAGGCAUCGAUGGGUAGGGGUUCUGAGAGGAAGGUCCCCCACAUUGGAACUGAGACACGGUCCAAACUCCUACGGGAGGCAGCAGUGAGGAAUAUUGGUCAAUGGACGAAAGUCUGAACCAGCCAAGUAGCGUGCAGGACGACGGCCCUCUGGGUUGUAAACUGCUUUUAGUUGGGAAUAAAAAGAGGGACGUGUCCCUUAUUGUAUGUACCAUCAGAAAAAGGACCGGCUAAUUCCGUGCCAGCAGCCGCGGUAA